AUUGAACGCUGGCGGCAGGCCUAACACAUGCAAGUCGAGCGGCAGCGGGAAAGUAGCUUGCUACUUUUGCCGGCGAGCGGCGGACGGGUGAGUAAUGCCUGGGAAAUUGCCCAGUCGAGGGGGAUAACAGUUGGAAACGACUGCUAAUACCGCAUACGCCCUACGGGGGAAAGCAGGGGACCUUCGGGCCUUGCGCGAUUGGAUAUGCCCUGGUGGGAGUAGCUAGUUGGUGAGGUAAUGGCUCACCAAGGCGACGAUCCCUAGCUGGUCUGAGAGGAUGAUCAGCCACACUGGAACUGAGACACGGUCCAGACUCCUACGGGAGGCAGCAGUGGGGAAUAUUGCACAAUGGGGGAAACCCUGAUGCAGCCAUGCCGCGUGUGUGAAGAAGGCCUUCGGGUUGUAAAGCACUUUCAGCGAGGAGGAAAGGUUGAUGCCUAAUACGUAUCAACUGUGACGUUACUCGCAGAAGAAGCACCGGCUAACUCCGUGCCAGCCGCCGCCGUAAGAC
rnacentral:rRNA from 1 species